rnacentral:rRNA from 1 species
GAAUUCGCCCUUAGAGUUUGAUCCUGGCUCAGGACGAACGCUGGCGGCGUGCCUAACACAUGCAAGUCGAGCGGGGAACUGCGGAAUGCGACUUCGGUCAAAUGAAACAGUUUCUAGCGGCGGACGGGUGAGUAACGCGUGAGCAACCUGCCUAUCACAGGGGAAUAACGCAUCGAAAGGUGUGCUAAUACCGCAUGAGACCACAGGAUCGCAUGGUCAAGGGGUCAAAGAUUUAUCGGUGAUAGAUGGGCUCGCGUCUGAUUAGCUGGUUGGUGAGGUAACGGCCCACCAAGGCGACGAUCAGUAGCCGACCUGAGAGGGUGAUCGGCCACAUUGGAACUGAGAAACGGUCCAAACUCCUACGGGAGGCAGCAGUGGGGAAUAUUGGGCAAUGGGCGCAAGCCUGACCCAGCAACGCCGCGUGAAGGAAGAAGGUCUUCGGGUCGUAAACUUCUAUCCUUGGUGAAGAUAAUGACGGUAGCCAAGAAGGAAGCCCCGGCUAACUACGUGCCAGCAGCCGCGGUAAUACGUAGGGGGCAAGCGUUGUCCGGAAUGAUUGGGCGUAAAGGGCGCGUAGGCGGCCUGUUAAGUCUGGAGUGAAAUUCCUGCUUUUAAGGUGGGAACUGCUUUGGAUACUGAUGGGCUUGAGUGCAGGAGAGGUAAGCGGAAUUCCCGGUGUAGCGGUGAAAUGCGUAGAGAUCGGGAGGAACACCAGUGGCGAAGGCGGCUUACUGGACUGUAACUGACGCUGAGGCGCGAAAGUGUGGGGAGCAAACAGGAUUAGAUACCCUGGUAGUCCACACUGUAAACGAUGAAUGCU